GAUGAACGCUGGCGGCGUGCCUAACACAUGCAAGUCGAGCGGACAGACGAUGAGCUUGUUCCUUUGUCGUUAGCGGCGGACGGGUGAGUAACGCGUGGAUCACCCACUUCUCUUUCUGGGAUAAUUACGGAAAACCGGAUCUUAUACCAUAUAAUAUCUUGAACCGUUUGGUUCAAUGGAGAAUGUCGGCUUUGCUGUCUGUAUUAGCUGCUUCCGGGCUGGAUUAGCUAGUUGGUAGGGUAACGGCUUACCAAGGCUACGAUGCGUAGCCGAACUGAGAGGAUGAUAGGCCACACUGGAACUGAGACACGGUCAAGACUCCUACGGGAGGCAGCAGUAGGGAAUCUGCGGCAAUGGGCGAAAGCAUGACGGAGCAAGGCCGCGUGAGUGAAGAAGGCCUUCGGAUCGUAAAGCUCUGUUAUUGGGGAAGAACAGAUGUGGAAGUAGAUAUAGACGUCUUGACGGUACCUAAUAAAAAAGCAACGGCUAACUACGUG
rnacentral:rRNA from 1 species